UAGUUGCAUUAGAUUAUUGUAUUCUGUAACACUUGCUGGUUUUUUUUUCUUUUCCAGGAGGAGUCCAGAAAAUACCUGUAGAGCUGCAGCUUCGCUUUCUCCGAGCUUUGCCAGAGGUUGUGUUUUUGCCCUGUGUGCACUGCAAUGAGAAUAUCUAACUGGUGAGGCUUACUGGCUGACAGGCUACUUGUACAAGGCCCUUAGAGAUCCUGGUCCUGCAAUGCUUCUUGAAAGAAAUGUGACUUCACUCCCCUCAGAGCUUGAAUGAAACACACAUGAGGAUUUGUUCAGUCAUCCAGCACAGGUA
rnacentral:lncRNA from 12 species